rnacentral:rRNA from 1 species
UACGGAGGGGACUAGCGUUGUUCGGAAUUACUGGGCGUAAAGCGCACGUAGGCGGAUUUGUAAGUCAGGGGUGAAAUCCCGGGGCUCAACCUCGGAACUGCCUUUGAUACUGCAAAUCUCGAGUCCGGAAGAGGUGAGUGGAAUUCCUAGUGUAGAGGUGAAAUUCGUAGAUAUUAGGAAGAACAACCAGUGGCGAAGGCGGCUUACUGG